rnacentral:lncRNA from 1 species
AUUAUGACGUUUUAACUUGUUCAUUAUGUCUCCGCCGAAAGAUGUAAAUUUUAAAAGUUUGACCCUUGACCAUUCCUACGACGUAAUCAAAUUUUAUUUCCCGCAAUAAGUAAAGUAACUGAAACUACGUAUCGACACUUUGAUAAGAAAGUAUUGUUACAGAUGAUGGAUUUUCUGUAAGGAAAUGUUGAAGUUUUUAUGGGCAUGCCUUCAAUCAAUUGUAAUACAAUAAAUCAUUUCAAUUCUAGAGAUUGUCCAGAUUCUGCUAUUAUUCACAUGCAGUAAUAAAUCACAUGCAGUGGUAUCGAUGAAUAUCUGAAAAAUAAAGAAGAAAGGCACUACUAACACUCGAAGGAUAACAACAAACUACAAAUCUAUAAAUUCAC